CAGAGGGGGCAAGCGUUGUUCGGAAUUACUGGGCGUAAAGGGCGCGUAGGCGGCCCGCUAAGUCGAACGUGAAAUCCCUGGGCUCAACCCAGGAACUGCGUCCGAUACUGGCAGGCUUGAAUCCGGGAGAGGGAUGCGGAAUUCCAGGUGUAGCGGUGAAAUGCGUAGAUAUCUGGAGGAACACCGGUGGCGAAGGCGGCAUCCUGGACCGGUAUUGACGCUGAGGCGCGAAAGCCAGGGGAGCAAACGGGAUUAGAUACCCCGGUAGUCCUGGCCCUAAACGAUGAAUGCUUGGUGUGGCGGGUAUCGAUCCCUGCCGUGCCGAAGCUAACGCAUUAAGCAUUCCGCCUGGGGAGUACGGUCGCAAGGCUG
rnacentral:rRNA from 1 species